rnacentral:lncRNA from 1 species
UGGGCGAUUCAAGUGAAAACAGAAGACAAUAAAAGGAAAGAGAACUUUUAAAUCUGUUUUCUUUAAGUAGUUAUAUACUAGUCAUUGGUAUGAGAUAGUGCCUGAACCUUACCCACAGAUCAAGAAAAAAGCUGACCAUGCUGCUACAAACAAUAAAAAUUUGGGGUGCAAAACAAUGCAUGACUAUGGGACAGAUCAUGUAAAUAAAGAAUAUAUAUUAAUGAUAGUUUCUAUAAUAUAAAUAGCCGUCUAGGAAAAAAAAAAACAAAACUCAAAAUACCACUUUGUAACAGGUCUCAUUUGUGACUGCUUCCCAAACUUUGCAGAUAAGACCCCAAAUCAUCAAAAGGUUUGAUUUAUUAAAAAAGAAAAGUCUCUGUUGAAAUCUCAAGAGUCCCUUACACCCCAAGCAUUUUUCUUCAUCAAACAAGGAGUCAAAAACCCACUUCAAACUAUAAAUUGAACAGCAAUGGAAAAAUAAGAAAUUUUCAUUAUUUUCCAAUCUUAAAGUAAUUUAACAUCAAACUCCAGUUUACUUGGACCUAAUGCAAUAAUAGAUUUUGUUGUG